UGACCUCAGAUCGGGUAGGACUACCCGCUGAACUUAAGCAUAUCAAUA
rnacentral:rRNA from 1 species